GGGCUCACCAAGGGCUGCCAGUUCGCAGAAGUCCCUCACCUUUGUUCCACACCUGCUGACUUUCUAAACUGCUGUCCUCUGGACUGUGCUGGGUACACAUGACAGCACCUUGGCAGCCAUGUCUUUCAGAGCCCCAUUAUGCAAUGCCACGGCCCUAGAAGCAGAAGGAACCAUCAAAGAACCAGGCUAAAGGACUUUGGGACCAACAGGCAUUCAGGAAUGCGCCUGGCCAGGAGCUAAGGGGCCACCAGCUGACAAGAGUUGCCACCAGACACGCCAGGUAGAAGAUGUCAGCUGGCAAUGGCCAUGCCAGCCUAAGCUACCUCUGUGGAGUGAACAAUGUAGCCCAGAAGAGCCAGCACAGAUCCCUCCCACCUAUCAGCCCUGUCUUCCCCCAUCUUGAUGCAUGUCCCAGCAAAAUCUUUCAAAAGAAGUGUCUGUCCUCAUGAUCUCCAAUUCCCCUCUUCCUGCACUCUCUGGAACCUACUCCAGUCUGUUCCACGCUGUCACCAGGGUGAGCAAUGACGUGGGAAGGUUGAACCUGCGGUCAGCUCCGAGCGCGCAUCCUCCUUGACCCGCCCGCC
rnacentral:lncRNA from 1 species